AGCAGUAGCCGCGGUAAUACGUAGGUGGCGAGCGUUGUCCGGAAUCAUUGGGCGUAAAGGGAGCGCAGGCGGGCAUGUAAGUCUUUCUUAAAAGUGCGGGGCUCAACCCCGUGAUGGGAAAGAAACUACAUGUCUUGAGUACAGGAGAGGAAAGCGGAAUCCCCAGUGUAGCGGUGAAAUGCGUAGAUAUUGGGAGGAACACCAGUGGCGAAGGCGGCUUUCUGGACUGCAACUGACGCUGAGGCUCGAAAGCCGGGGGAGCGAACGGGAUUAGAUACCCCAGUAGUCCCUGUCUCUUAUACA
rnacentral:rRNA from 1 species